rfam:Populus trichocarpa scaffold_8_contig_195, whole genome shotgun sequence.
CCCGCUGAGUUUAAGCAUAUCAAUAAGCAGAGGAAAAGAAACUUACAAGGAUUCCCCUAGUAACGGUGAGCGAACCGGGAAAUGCCCAGCUUGAGAAUCUAGCGCCUGCGGCGUCCGAAUUGUAGUCUGGAGAAGCGUCCUCAGCGACGGACCAAGCCCAAGUCCCCUGGAAAAGGGCGCCGGAGAGGGCGAGAGCCCCGUCGUGGCUGGACCCUGCCGCACCAUGAGGCAUUGUCUGCGAGUCGGAUUGUUUGAGAAUGCAGCCCCAAUCGAGCGGUAAAUUCCAAAUACGGGCCAGAGACCGAUAGCAAACAAGUACCGCGAGGGAAAGAUGAAAAGGACUUUGAAAAGAGAGUCAAAGAGUGCCUGAAAUUGUCGGGAGGGAAGUGGAUGGGGGGCGUCCAUGCACCCCGGUCGGAUGUGGAACGGUUACGGCCGGUCCGCCGAUUGGCUCGGGGCGUGGACCGAUGCGGAUCGCGGUGGCGGCCCAAGCCCGGGCCUUUGAAACGCCCGCGGAGACGUCGUCAAGGAGUGCCCCGGCACAUGCGCGCUCCGGGCAUCGGCCUAUGGGAUCCCUAUUCGUCUCGUCUUGAAACACGG